rnacentral:rRNA from 1 species
UACGUAGGGGGCGAGCGUUGUCCGGAGUUACUGGGCGUAAAGCGCACGCAGGCGGUCUGUUAAGUUUGGAGUGACAGUUGGUGGCUUAACUGCCAAAGUGCUUCGAAAACUGACAGACUUGAGGGCUUCAGAGGGACACGGAAUUCCCGGUGUAGCGGUGAAAUGCGCAGAUAUCGGGAAGAACACCCGUGGCGAAGGCGGCUCUCUGGGACGGUACUGACGCUGAGACGCGAAAGCGUGGGGAGCGAACAGG